GGGGAGGAGAGGGAGCAGGGGGUGAAGGUAGGGAGGGAGUGUGGUGCACUGAACUCAGCUCUUUGGGAAACUGUUUUUGCAGACAAGCCAUGGUUAGAGGAAUCCAGUUGCUCUGCCAAACAGACCUGGCUGGAAGGGAUGGAACACACGCUCGCCUGCGUCCCAAAGGGAAACCCAGCUCCAGCCUUGGUGUGUACCUGGAAUGGGGUGGUCUUUGACCUUGAAGUGCCACAGAAGGCAACCUAGAACCACACUGGAACCUACUGCUGCACAGCCACUAACCAGCUGGGCUCUGUCAGCAAAGACAUUGCUGUCAUUGUUCAAGGACUGGAUGAAGGAAUCAGCUCUACCCUCUUUGUCAUUAUUACCGUUGCCCUUGGAGUGGGUGUCAUCACCAUAGCACUGUAUUUGAGCUAUCGGCCCUGCAAAGUAGACAGGAAGAAAUUGCUCUACAGGCAGAAAGAGGAGGACAAAGAGGAGGAAAGCCAGUUUGCUGUUCAGGAAGAGAAAAGUGCAACUCAUAUAAUUGACAGCUAUUUGAUUGAAUGAGAGUUCUGCUACUGUGGUUUCCCAGGGAUGGGAGAAGGGAUAGAGGAGAAAGGAAGAAACACAAUGGCAGGCUGCAUUCCUAUUUGUGUACAUCUGUCCUGUAAAACGGUGUUUCAGGCCCCCAUGCCCCAUGUCCUGUGUGUCCAAUAUGUCCACAAUCUCACCAUUCUCUCUCUCUCUCUUUUUUUUUUUGAGAUGGAGUCUCACUGUUGUCGCCUAGGCUGGAGUGCAAUGAUGCGAUCUCGGCUCACUGCAACUUCAGCCUCCUGGGUUCAGGUGAUUCUCCUGCCUCAGCCUCCCCAGUAGCUGAGAUUACAGGUGCAUACCACCAUGCCUGUCUAAUUUUUGUAUUUUUCGUAGAGAUGGGGUUUCACCAUGUUGGCUAGGCUGUUCUCAAACUCCUGACCUCAAGUGAUCCGCCCACCUUGGCCCCCCAAAAUGCUGGGAUUACAGGUGUGAGCCACUGCACCCAGCCACCUUUCUCUUUAGAGCUCACCCUAGUCAUUAGGAAUCUCAGUCUCAAUGUUUGAUUUGUAAGAAGGCCUCUUGCUCCUUGCCAGGUGCUUCAUCAGUCCACUCUUAGAUCCAAAAAAAAAA
rnacentral:lncRNA from 1 species